rnacentral:lncRNA from 1 species
CUUGUUCUCACAUUGACAGCAUGAUUUGCUUUCUCCUUUUCACCAACCACUAAGAUAAAGUUAUACUGAGCCAGUUGUGCAUUUCUGAUUUUCUUGUUCAAUGUGCAGCUCUGAUCUAGAUCCACAUCUGACAUAAAUCCUGCUUCAAAAAAUUCACUGCAAACCUGCUGUGCAUACUCUUCAGAAGUAGGUCCCACAGGCACAACCAUGACCUGCCGUGGAGACAGCCAGAACGGCCAUUUUCCUCCAUAAUUUUCUGCUAGAAUAGCUAUCAUUCUCUCCACAGAUCCCAGAACAGCUCUAUGAAUAAU